rnacentral:misc_RNA from 1 species
GAUGAAGAACGUAGCGAAAUGCGAUAAGUAGUGUGAAUUGCAGAAUUCAGUGAAUCAUCGAAUCUUUGAACGCACAUUGCGCCCCUUGGUAUUCCAUGGGGCAUGCCUGUUCGAGCGUCAUUUGUACCCUCAAGCUUUGCUUGGUGUUGGGCGUCUUGUCGUAUUACGACUCGCCUUAAAUACAUUGGCAGCCGGCACUUUGGCCUAGGAGCGCAGCACAUUUUGCGAUCGUAGCCCGUUGUACUGGCGUCCAUCAAGAACAUUUACCACGUUUGACCUCGGAUCAGGUAGGGAUACCCGCUGAACUUAAGCAUAUCAAUAAGCGGGAGGA